AACCCCAAACCAGAUCUCAUAUGCUCAUCGCUACCCUCAUUCCACCGCCGUCGUCGCUGCCCUCCAUCCACCGCCAUCGUCAUCGCCCGACGGUGCCCUCGUUAAUCCUUUACUAUGUUUGAGUCUGUCCAAAUACCAGAAGCCGUCAUUCAGUAGGCAACAAUUGCUCUGCGAGCAAUCGAGUCGUGGCUCUUGCCGAUUCAUUUAGCCCGAGGAUGAAACCGGUAAUAAAAAACUCAUUGGAGUAAAGUUGUUAAUUCAUCCUAUCUUUGCAAAUUUUAGAUCGAAUUUUCAGAUUCGGUUCGGAUCUGUAUUCAUGAUUUUCGAUAAAAAUGUGGUUUGUAGUUGAUUUUCGAUAUAUUGUAGAGUGUAGUUGAUUUUUUAUAUUAAUUUUCUCUGGAACCAUUUUAGGCAUCUCCAGCGGCGAUCUGAUGUGGUAGAGUGGUAAUUGACGGUUGACGCAAGGGAUUUGCGUCCUUUCUUCACCGGAGAGUGAUUGGCAUGUAGAAGUUGGGGAGUGGUUGAAACGGUGGCGAUGGAACAAAUCACCCUCACAGCCAUCGGAUUCAACACAUGAUUAGUGGAGAUAUAGCCUUUUCUCGAUGAAUAUGCGAUUGUAAUGUCCAACAUGUGGAUUGGACUAUAGUUAAUUAUAAUUUCUCUUAAAUUGAGAUUUUUUAUUUU
rnacentral:lncRNA from 1 species